GAUGAACGCUGGCGGCGUGCUUAACACAUGCAAGUCGAACGGAAAGGCUCCUGCUUGCAGGGGUACUCGAGUGGCGAACGGGUGAGUAACACGUGGGUGAUCUGCCCAGCACUUCGGGAUAAGCCUGGGAAACUGGGUCUAAUACCGGAUAGGAGGAUCGUUUGGAUGCCAUUGUGGAAAGUUUUUUCGGUGUGGGAUGAGCUCGCGGCCUAUCAGCUUGUUGGUGGGGUAAUGGCCUACCAAGGCGUCGACGGGUAGCCGGCCUGAGAGGGUGUACGGCCACAUUGGGACUGAGAUACGGCCCAGACUCCUACGGGAGGCAGCAGUGGGGAAUAUUGCACAAUGGGCGGAAGCCUGAUGCAGCGACGCCGCGUGGGGGAUGACGGCCUUCGGGUUGUAAACUCCUUUCGCUAGGGACGAAGCGCAAGUGACGGUACCUGGAGAAGAAGCACCGGCUAACUACGUG
rnacentral:rRNA from 1 species